GGAACCCUGUUGGGGAACAGGGUUGCGAAGACUUCCCAAAGCCCUUGGACGCUUCCUUCUCAUCUUCUUAGACCCUGCAGAGCCCUUUACUAAUGGCAGUUAGUGACUGAGCUUGGCCAGAACUGAUGUGGCAGUUAUGUCGCAGGUCAGCUCUCACCUCAUUCCAUGACAGAAUGCUCAUUGUGAGGUGCACACACCCUCUCUCUGCUCCAUGACCCCAGCCUCCCCCUCUCUCUCCCCCAGAGAAACAGGCUCUAGGUGUAAGGGUGACUAUAGUAAAUGGCACUGAGCACCUGAGCUGUCACAUGAGUCUCUGCCAUUGGAUAAAGCUUUCAUUGCAUUGGUGGAGAGAGGUCAGACACAUGAGCUAUGUCCAUGUGCCUGGGUCCUGGGGCAGCAGCCCUAAAACAGGAAUGGGGGAAAUGUGUGGAAGUCAGGUUAGAAGCCUUUUUAAAGGAUCUUCUUAUCAUGUAGUUGGACAAAUAGAAUGAUUAAAGGGAUUUGUAUCCUUUCUAAAAGCCUCAUGUCUGUGGAUUAGAUGGAAGCUCUUAGCCACUGCUCUUGGCUAUUGCUCCAACAUCAUGCCUGCCUGCCUACUGCCAUGCUACCCACCAUGAAGUCAUGGACUCAACCUCUGCAACUAUUUUUGACUACAGUGAAGAAGUUGGCCAAGAUAAUUGAUUAUGGUUUAAAUGGUCCCUGAUAGACUUCCUGUCUGAAUACUUGUUUCCAUACUGAUAACACUGAUUGGGAAGGUCAUGGAACUUUUAAGGCAGUGAAGGCUCUCUGGAGGAAGUGAGUCACUGGGGCUGGCCUUUGGGCUCUAACCUCCUGUUCAGCCUCUGCUUCCCGGACACGCCUGUAAGCUCAAAGACUAUACCUCCCAUCUCCUACUCCAACCACCACUACCACUGCUCUGUCUUGUCACUAGCUGCUGGUUCCUCUGCCAGCCACCAUGUGGUCUCAGCCAUGAGGGAAUAAGCCCCUAGAAAGAUAAUCCAGAAUCAAGGUUAUUUUCUGUAGGUCAGGCUUUUCACUACAGCAAAGAGAAAAGGAUGUAAUAAACUUUUCAACUAAG